CGUAGGGGGCAAGCGUUGUCCGGAUUUAUUGGGCGUAAAGCGCGUGUAGGCGGCUUGGCAAGUCCGCUGUGAAAACUCGAGGCUCAACCUCGAGAUGUCGGUGGAAACUGCUUGGCUAGAGUCCGGAAGAGGAGUGUGGAAUUCCUGGUGUAGCGGUGAAAUGCGCAGAUAUCAGGAAGAACACCUAUGGCGAAGGCAGCACUCUGGGACGGUACUGACGCUGAGACGCGAAAGCGUGGGGAGCGAACAGGAUUAGAUACCCUGGUAGUCCACGCCGUAAACGAUGGAUGCUAGGUGUGGGCGGUGUCGACUCCGUCCGUGCCGAAGCUAACGCAUUAAGCAUCCCGCCUGGGGAGUACGGCCGCAAGGCUA
rnacentral:rRNA from 1 species